rnacentral:lncRNA from 1 species
CUGCUAGAACUGGCUUUGUGAUAAACAAGCAGAGAAAUCAAGAAAACAGGAGCUGAUGGUGCAGUAAAAAAAAGGCUCAAUUGGAGAAGAGUAAUAAAGGAGGUGAGCCUGACAUGGUGGUGAUGAACACUCCUGCUCCUACAGCGCCUCCAAGUGGACCUGCACCGCAACCACAGCCCAUAGUGCCUUAUGUACAAUUUCCCCCUCAGACCUAUGGGAGCCCAAAACCAUGGGGCCCACCAUCACCCAGAAUGCCACCUAUGCAAUGCUGGGGGUGUGGACAAUUGACACAUGAGGAACCAACAUGAGGAACCAAUGUCCACCUAAUCCUCAAUAUCAAGGAUGGGCUACAACACCAGGAGUGAACCGAAGAGGGAGAGGACAUUUCAGGAGGAAACCGAGGAGGAUACCAACAAUAAGGUGGACAUCAGCAGCAACCCCAAACCUUGCAUCAGUAGAACAUGCCUGACUCUACCCCACCAGUCAUACAAGGAGAAUGUUCUAAUGCCUCCCAUCAAAAAGAGAGCUGGCCCAAGCAAGCACAGGUUACACCUGAAGCAUGAGGACUUGCAGCAAGUGGUGAACUUCAACAACUACGCAGAGGAUAAUGCAAUAGUAUUACCAGGACACCACCCAGGACACAAACUCUUUGGUGGAAAGCUGCUGCCAUCCCAUGUGACAAAAGCAGCAGUGUGGCGUCUCUACAAGGAAUCUGUCUCAGGGGGCCCCUACUGAACCAGCAAACAGACUGGACCUUCACUUCCAAGAUCAAAGGCCACACCAAGUUUGCCCCCAACUGGUGCUUCGGCCUCAUCAAGCAGCGCUUCAGAAAGACCAGAGUGAACACUUUGUCUGAGAUUGCUGGUGUUGUGAAGGACAGCACUGUGACAGGGGUCAACAUCCCACAGCUGGUUGGACUGGAGGAUGAUACGGUGCUGGUGGAAAGCUAUGUCUGGCAACAAUACCUGACUCUGUACUUCAGGCCACUGCCACAGAUCAAGCAGUACCAGCACUUCAGGUGAAAAUCAUUUUCAUUGCAUUGUAUGAGGUUAUUCUUCUUAUCUAAACUUGGGAGGUGAAUUGAUGUGCAACGCUGACCAUCCUUCCUCCCAUAGA